GGAGGAGGGAGGUACGGAGGAGGCAAGCCGGAGGGGCAGGCAGGAGAGGAGAAGAAAGGGGGCAUAGAGGAAGCAGCACGGAUGGGCGGAGGGGCAGCGAGAGAAGAGCGGGUAACAAGUGACAGCUGCAAUCCAGGACUUCAGCAUAUCCAAGGACACAGUGUGGGAAUUGACUUCAGGACAUACACUAAGAAGCUUCCCCUACCAGACCUUUCCAGCUGUGAUUAAAGCCAGAAAGGUUCUGCCAUGUCUUCAGUGUCAUGAAGCACCAUCGUGAAGAAGGAUCCCUGCUUUUCAGAAUUUUUUACAUAUUGGAAGGUUGAGAUAUCACCUCCACACCUGCCAUCAGCCUUUAUUUUUUAGAGCAAAUAUUACCUCUCCUUUUUUCAAUAAUUUUCCAUAUUUUAAACCAUUUAAAAAGUACUCUUUAUGUACUAUUGUAUGAUACUAUUAUAGUACUAUUGCACUAUUGUAUGUACUACCCCAAACAGAGGCUUCUGAAAGACUACCCGUUGUUCAAGAAUUCUUGAAAACAGUGAUGGCAAUGCAGUGUUAUAAAUGUUUUAAUUCUAGGACCACUUCACAGAAAAUAUCUGAGGUUGUUCUGUGGCCAGCAGGACCAGGGCAGUGAUUGUCCCCUCGUACCUGGCACAGGUUCCUGCCUGCUACUCUGCCUUCCCUGUACUCUGGACUUGUGGAGAUUGGUCCUCAGUGGUCUGAUGGCUUCUGUGAUGGGUCUGAGGGUAGCCCAGCAGGGUAUAAUUUGGGGUUCCCUAUCCUUCCUCUCUCUCUCUGAACAUCUUUGUGGACAUGCAGUUAUUAUGUAAGGAAGAAAAAGGGAUCUGCUUUUGGAUGCAGCUUGGAAUUACGUGGUGCUCAAAGAAGCUGUUGCUAAGAAAUUGCAGAGUUCAGGUUUUUCUUCUUAGCAGAAGAAUGUGGGCAUGAACAGCUCUCCAUCAGCCUUAGAAGAACACCUUCAUUUAUAGCUGUACAUUGAAAUUUAUAUUUUAGAGCACAGACACAGUUGUCUGGCAUGAAAGACAGCUUUCCUAGACAGCGAAUUUGUUGUACAUUGAAAUAAGCAGUUCACAGAAGUGGACAGAACCAAUCUGACAUCAUGCAGCCUGUUCAUGUUAGUCUUCACAUGAAGAACUACUAAAGAGUUGUAAAGUCAGAGUUACGUAUCUUGUAACAGUGGAUAACAACUCUGCACUGGCUAGAUGCCUUCUGCUGCUCUCUAAGCUGAACAGGAAAUCUAAUUCAUCUCAUGUGGUUUCCUGAUGAAAUAUAUACUGCGAAUGAUAAAUGUAUGAGUGCUGCUAAAUGCAGUUGCUAGAUAGUGAAAGAUAUCUUCUGGGUGGUUUUGGUUUUUUUUUCCCCCUACAAUUAAACAUUUAACAUUGCCAAACAAAUUAAAUUUGCCAAAACAAUGAUUAAAGGUCAACAUAAAAUACAAAAUGGAAAUUGCUUUUCUCUUUACUUACCUGAAAAAUAAUAAUUAACAGAGAGAGAAA